CUCUCUCUCACACUCUCCCGCUAUCGUGCACUGCAAGAUUGGCUUUGACUUUUUUUUCUAUGCUCGUUCAGCACGCAACAAGCGGCUUCGCUGUAGGAAGCGGGAGUCGUUGAUAUGCACCAAAGCAGGCACUGGAGAGUUGACCAGUGAAUGAUUUCGUUCGCGAGUGUAUUUAGUUGUGCGGAAGUGAAGAAAACCGACCGGCCAUUUGUCGACAUGAAUCACAGCAAAGGGAACCGAAAACUGAAACUAAAAUACGUUGGAUUUAGACGCUUAGAUAAAAGGAUAAAUGGGCGUGAGACAAUGCGCAUUGUCAUUGGUAUUCCUCCCGUACCAAUGCUCUCGGUCUUUGUUGUCUCAUAUUCCUCCUCUAAUCCUUCAGAUGCUUGACGUAAACAUGCCUGUGCAACGGCUUCUCAUCAUAUUACAGAGACAGAAUUUAAAUCGCUACUGGCGUGCAAUUUGUGCUUAUUUUGGGAUAAGCGCGAUUAAAUUAAACGAAACGGUGACGAAUCUAAAUUUUGAUUGAUCAGUCCAGAAUAAAAAAAAGCUAAUCUAGUAAAAAAUGUA